rnacentral:rRNA from 1 species
UACGUAGGCAGCGAGCGUUGUUCGGAGUUACUGGGCGUAAAGCGUGCGUAGGCGGUUUUGUAAGUUUGGUGUGAAAUCUCCCGGCUCAACUGGGAGGGUGCGCCGAAAACUGCAAGGCUGGAGUAUGGGAGAGGUAGGCGGAAUUCCUGGUGUAGCGGUGAAAUGCGUAGAUAUCAGGAGGAACACCUGUGGUGUAGACGGCUUACUGGACCAUGACUGACGCUGGAGGCACGAAAGCGUGGGGAGCAAACAGG